ACGGCACAAGACACAAAGAACAUCUUCUCCACAAGCUCCAAGGUGUUUUCUAAAAUGCUAUAACACAAGCAAAGCCUCAUAGGAAGGAUGAAUAGCUACAGCAGCCAUUUGUCACAGGACGAGAGCACAGGAGUGGGAGGUCAUCAACUAAUAGAGUAGGUACCUGGGAAAAUUGGGGGGGGGAGAUUCUUAUGUCAAAUUCCCAGAUGAUCCUAAGAAAUCAAAACAUGCUGUGUCCUACAGAGGAAAUUUAAAAGCAACAUGGCCUCUGUGAGUCUCUCAUUGGGAAAGAUUCCUUACCCCAAACCUGAGGAUCCGGCACUGAGUAUCAAAAGCGUGUAAUACGAACAUGUGGAAACUCUCACCUUAGGUUUACGGUCAGUCUUCAAUGCCUCACAGGAACCCUCAAUCUUCUCUUGAGAAAGCUAGAUUAUGUAUCAAGGGAAGAAAUCAAUCAAUUCUGGACCCUGUGUAUGGAACAGCACACCUGGAAGCAUGAAACUAUUGCAACAUAAAUAAGGGGCAAGCUAAGAGUGAGGCACUUCCUUCUGAACCUCCUUAGAGAUACUGAGGGUCACGUAUCACAAGGUGGGUUAUUUUAAAAAGGCUGCUAAACUGCUAUGAAUACUUUGGCUUCAGUCCUAGCAAUUGCCCCUACCUCCAGCUGAAGCUGAAGCUGAUGAGCAUGAUGGAGACCUGCUGCCUGGCUAAUAGCUUGCCUGUGCACCCAGCCCCUGCCAGCUUGCGUGGAGCAGUGUCUGCUGCAGGUGCCCCAGCAUGUGGUGCUAGGUCAAAUCCAAACUGAUGUGUACCCAAGAGCCUACACUUUGGUGACCGUGUGUCUGCAGCUGGGACAGGACCUGAUGUCCAUGUAAUGUACAGCAUAACAACUGGUAAUUCUGAAU
rnacentral:lncRNA from 1 species